rnacentral:rRNA from 1 species
GAUGAACGCUGGCGGCGUGCCUAAUACAUGCCAGUCGAGCGAACGGACGAGAAGCUUGCUUCUCUGAUGUUAGCGGCGGACGGGUGAGUAACACGUGGAUAACCUACCUAUAAGACUGGGAUAACUUCGGGAAACCGUAGCUAAUACCGGAUAAUAUUUUGAACCGCAUGGUUCAAAAGUGAAAGACGGUCUUGCUGUCACUUAUAGAUGGAUCCGCGCUGCAUUAGCUAGUUGGUAAGGUAACGGCUUACCAAGGCAACGAUGCAUAGCCGACCUGAGAGGGUGAUCGGCCACACUGGAACUGAGACACGGUCCAGACUCCUACGGGAGGCAGCAGUAGGGAAUCUUCCGCAAUGGGCGAAGGCCUGACGGAGCAACGCCGCGUGAGUGAUGAAGAUCUUCGGAUCGUAAAACUCUGUUAUUAGGGAAGAACAUAUGUGUAAGUAACUGUGCACAUCUUGACGGUACCUAAUCAGAAAGCCACGGCUAACUACGUG